GAACGCAGCGAAAUGCGAUACGUCUUGCGACUUGCAGAAUCUCGUGAUCAUCGAAACUUCGAACGCAUCUUGCGCUCCCGGGAUAUGCCUGGGAGCAUGCUUGUCGG
rnacentral:rRNA from 1 species